rnacentral:rRNA from 1 species
CAAGUCGAACGGGAAUCUUCGGAUUCUAGUGGCGGACGGGUGAGUAACGCGUAAGAAUCUAACUUCAGGACGGGGACAACAGUUGGAAACGACUGCUAAUACCCGAUAUGCCGCGAGGUGAAACCUAAUUGGCCUGAAGAAGAGCUUGCGUCUGAUUAGCUAGUUGGUGGGGUAAGAGCCUACCAAGGCGACGAUCAGUAGCUGGUCUGAGAGGAUGAGCAGCCACACUGGGACUGAGACACGGCCCAGACUCCUACGGGAGGCAGCAGUGGGGAAUUUUCCGCAAUGGGCGAAAGCCUGACGGAGCAACGCCGCGUGAGGGAGGAAGGUCUUUGGAUUGUAAACCUCUUUUCUCAAGGAAGAAGUUCUGACGGUACUUGAGGAAUCAGCCUCGGCUAACUCCGUGCCAGCAGCCGCGGUAAUACGGGGGAGGCAAGCGUUAUCCGGAAUUAUUGGGCGUAAAGCGUCCGCAGGUGGUCAGCCAAGUCUGCUGUCAAAUCAGGUUGCUUAACGACCUAAAGGCGGUGGAAACUGGCAGACUAGAGAGCAGUAGGGGUAGCAGGAAUUCCCAGUGUAGCGGUGAAAUGCGUAGAGAUUGGGAAGAACAUCGGUGGCGAAAGCGUGCUACUGGGCUGUAUCUGACACUCAGGGACGAAAGCUAGGGGAGCGAAAGGGAUUAGAUACCCCUGUAGUCCUAGCCGUAAACGAUGGAUACUAGGCGUGGCUUGUAUCGACCCGAGCAGUGCCGAAGCUAACGCGUUAAGUAUCCCGCCUGGGGAGUACGCACGCAAGUGUGAAACUCAAAGGAAUUGACGG